GUCUAUGGCCAUACUACCCUGAAUGCCCCCAUCUCGUCUGGUCUUGAAAGCUAAGCAGGGUUGGGCCAGUUUAGUACUUGGAUGGGAGAACAAUGUGCAUUAUUAAUA
ensembl:rRNA 5S_rRNA 5S ribosomal RNA